UUUGCCUCAUCUUUGCAUUUCUCCUAUUAUCUUUUGCUGCCCUUUCUGCAUUUUUAGCAAAAUACACAUCAAUAGGCCCCUUCGUCCUAGGCUUCUUUCUCAUAUUUGAGCCUCAUAUGCUUCCACCAAUUUCAUCUUCAUCAUAAUCAUGACCAAGCCUUUCAACAUCUUAAAAAUCUGGUAAAGAACUUUUAUCAGUCUUUUGCUGCAGCCUUUUGUUUCAUAUGUUCUUGCAUUUCUGCACGUACAUGAGCUGGACAUUUCCUAUACAUGGUGACAUUUCGACAUCCCUCAACUAAGUGCUGCUUAGCUCAGUAUAUUCCUCCCUUUGUAGCUUAAUUCACAAAAGUUACAAACUAGAUCAUUUGUUUGUAGUGGCUUCAACAUGCAUGUAUAUAUUUCCAUGUGGGAUCUUUUUUAGGAUUUUCAUCUUUAGAGCCACCAGUAGCAGCAUCACAGUAUACUUGGGCAUCCAUCUCUAUCAAUGGCUCUAGGAUAGGCAUGCAAUUAAUUACUAAAUUACAAUAUUCAUAGACUAAAAAGAACAAAAAAAGAAUAAACACAUCACUAAAACAAUAAAAAAAUGGCAAGAACAAAUAAUAAUAAACACAUCCAAAUAUUUUCUUUUAGCAAAUAAGUUUUCUAAUAGCAAUUUACCAACAUAUUCAACUAAUUAAGCAUUAACAAUUUAACAUAAUAUCUUAAUACCUUUAAGAACUAGGAAACAACAAAAUUUAGUCAAGACUCAAGAUUCAAGGGAGAAGAUUUAGAGAGAAUUAGAGAAGAGAGAAAUGUAAUUCUUUGUAUUGAUUCUUGGAAGGCCUUACAAGAUAGCGUCUGCUGAGAUUUAUAGCUCUUAGUAACUGCCCUAAUAGAAUCAGCUACAGUUGUCACAGAAUCAGCUACUACUGAUAACUUCUUUCAACUACUCAACAACCACAGACCACCCCAACUAUUUUAUUCAGAAAAGGAGGAACACUCUUCAAGUCUGGAUACUGAUAAAUAUUGUUCUCAUGAUCCUCUUAACUUAGAGCCUAUACAUGUAUUCCUGAUGCUAAAGUUUUGCAACUAGAUUGUACAUGUUUGAUUAAUGAAAUAACUUAAGCAUAAAAAAUGCCUGAUUGGGAAAUGUUGAUUUUUUUUUUUCCCCUGAAGCUAAAGUAGAGCUUAAAUUUUCAUGUUUGAGUGAACCCUAUCUGACA
rnacentral:misc_RNA from 1 species